rnacentral:rRNA from 1 species
UACAGAGGGGGCAAGCGUUAUCCGGAAUUAUUGGGCGUAAAGCGUCCGCAGGUGGCACCUCAAGUCUGCUGUCAAAGACCGGGGCUUAACCCCAGAAAGGCAGUGGAAACUGAAGUGCUAGAGUGCAGUAGGGGUAGAGGGAAUUCCCGGUGUAGCGGUGAAAUGCGUAGAGAUCGGGAAGAACAUCGGUGGCGAAAGCGCUCUACUGGGCCAUAACUGACACUCAGGGACGAAAGCUAGGGGAGCGAAUGGG